rfam:Fukomys damarensis contig112741, whole genome shotgun sequence.
UUGUGUGCUGUGCCCUACUCAGAAAGGUACUGUUCACUUGCACCACAGGUAACCAGGGCCUUCUGAGUAGAGUAAGGCUCGACAG